CCUACGGGUGGCAGCAGUGAGGAAUAUUGGACAAUGGUCGGAAGACUGAUCCAGCCAUGCCGCGUGCAGGAUGAAGGUCUUAUGGAUUGUAAACUGCUUUUGCAGGGGAAGAAUAAGGACUACGCGUAGUUUGAUGACGGUACUCUGUGAAUAAGCAUCGGCUAACUCCGUGCCAGCAGCCGCGGUAAUACGGAGGAUGCGAGCGUUAUCCGGAAUCAUUGGGUUUAAAGGGUCUGUAGGCGGGCUGGUAAGUCAGAGGUGAAAGCGCUUAGCUCAACUAAGCAACUGCCUUUGAAACUGCUGGUCUUGAAUGGUUGUGAAGUAGUUGGAAUGUGUAGUGUAGCGGUGAAAUGCUUAGAUAUUACACAGAACACCGAUAGCGAAGGCAUAUUACUAACAAUUAAUUGACGCUGAUGGACGAAAGCGUGGGGAGCGAACAGGAUUAGAUACCCUUGUAGUC
rnacentral:rRNA from 1 species